rnacentral:rRNA from 1 species
AGUGAACGCUGGCGGUAGGCCUAACACAUGCAAGUCGAACGGCAGCACAGUAAGAGCUUGCUCUUACGGGUGGCGAGUGGCGGACGGGUGAGGAAUACAUCGGAAUCUACUUUUUCGUGGGGGAUAACGUAGGGAAACUUACGCUAAUACUGCAUACGACCUACGGGUGAAAGCAGGGGGUCUUCGGACCUUGCGCGAUUGAAUGAGCCGAUGUCGGAUUAGCUAGUUGGCGGGGUAAAGGCCCACCAAGGCGACGAUCCGUAGCUGGUCUGAGAGGAUGAUCAGCCACACUGGAACUGAGACACGGUCCAGACUCCUACGGGAGGCAGCAGUGGGGAAUAUUGGACAAUGGGCGCAAGCCUGAUCCAGCCAUACCGCGUGGGUGAAGAAGGCCUUCGGGUUGUAAAGCCCUUUUGUUGGGAAAGAAAAGCAGCAGGUUAAUACCCCGCUGUUCUGACGGUACCCAAAGAAUAAGCACCGGCUAACUUCGUG